AUGGGCUGCUGCCUAAUUCGGACAUUAACUGUGCGAUGUGAGUUUGCCGAAUCUGAAACGGAAUGGGGAUCAGGGUACGGGGGAUUCGCCAAAUCUAGCGACGGCUUCCAAGGGACGUUUAUGGAUUUUGGAAAAUUUUCCACGGGAUUUCCUGAUUUAAGACUGGGCGAUAAAUACCCUAUCCUGGUAGAUCGAGCAAACAGAAGCAGGCUAUGCCAUGCUAGUGGUAGCAAUGAAUGGAAGAGGGUACACGAUCUUUAUUUGUGCUGCCGUAUAUUAACUUUCCUCUUGCUUAUUGAUUUCUAG
rnacentral:rRNA from 1 species